rnacentral:rRNA from 1 species
AUUGAACCCUGGCGGCAGGCUUAACACAUGCAAGUCGAGCGGGGUGAUGGUGCUUGCACUAUCACUUAGCGGCGGACGGGUGAGUAAUGCUUAGGAAUCUGCCUAUUAGUGGGGGACAACAUCUCGAAAGGGAUGCUAAUACCGCAUACGUUCUACGGGAGAAAGCAGGGGAUCACUUGUGACCUUGCGCUAAUAGAUGAGCCUAAGUCGGAUUAGCUAGUUGGUGGGGUAAAGGCCUACCAAGGCGACGAUCUGUAGCGGGUCUGAGAGGAUGAUCCGCCACACUGGGACUGAGACACGGCCCAGACUCCUACGGGAGGCAGCAGUGGGGAAUAUUGGACAAUGGGGGGAACCCUGAUCCAGCCAUGCCGCGUGUGUGAAGAAGGCCUUAUGGUUGUAAAGCACUUUAAGCGAGGAGGAGGCUCUUUUGGUUAAUACCCAGAAUGAGUGGACGUUACUCGCAGAAUAAGCACCGGCUAACUCUGUGCCAGCAGCCGCCGUAA